CGACUGUGGAAUUUUCAAAUUCGUGUUUCGUUAUGAUAAACCUGUAGUGCUUAUUUGUUCAUCUAUUUGGAUAGGUGAAGAGGUACGAGAGCAGUCCAUCCAGGAGCCGAAGCAGAAGCCGCAGCGUUAGAAGAGAUCGUAGUAAAUCAAGGGAACGAUCUGCAUCCAAACCUCCAGUUAAAUCCAAAUCUGCCUCGCCUGUUAAGUCAUCCAGGCCUAACCAGUUAAUGACUGAUAUGCAUACAUUAUGUCUGUAAAU